rnacentral:rRNA from 1 species
UUGGAGGAGCAGCGGAUGAAGCAGGUGAAGGCGCGGGCCAUCCACACCGCCCUCGCCGCCGGCACCACCCAUGGCGGGUCCUCGGCGCCUCCCGCUGCCCCGGCCGCGCCCCUGCCGCAGCGCCACCUGGCGCCGCUGCCGUACCCGGCGCCCCAGCAAUCGGGGCUGCUCCCGCUGCCUUAUGGGUCGCCCGCCCCUCCCGCAGAACGGCGCCGCGGGGGCCGGCGUGGUGGGGGCCACCGCGGCGGUCAGCAGCAGCAGCCGCAGGGCGCCGGCCAGCCCCGUCAGCAGCAGCAGCAGCAGUUCCAGGUGCCCCCUCCGUGGGCCUCCGGCUACAACCCGUGGACCAGUGUUGUUCAUACCCACACCAUGCCGGUUCCACGGGCUCCUGGACCGACCCUUCCCGUGCCGCGCCCGUCGGCGCAUCAGGCGUAUUACGCGGCUCCGCAGCCGUACGGAGGAUACCCACUGCUGCAGCUGAGCGGCGCCUACGGUCUUCCUGCGGCCCCGCCGCCGCCCUUGCCGGCCCUGCCGCCGGCGCCUUGGGAUCCGGUGCUCCUCGCUGCGCUGCACACCGCGCCUACGCCGAACAACUACACUGGAGGCGGUGAUUGGUACAUGGACACCGGGGCUACGGCUCACAUGUUUGCUUAUCCUGAUAAUCUUGCCUCCUUCACUCCCGUCACCACCGAUCGGCGCAUCAUUGUCGGCGACGGUUCCACACUCCCUAUCACACAUGUCGGGCACACUUCUUUUCCUUCUAAUUCCAUGCCUAUUACUUUGUCUAACAUACUACUGUCACCUCAUCUUAUUAAGAACCUUGUUUUCGUUCGUUGUUUAACUCGUGAAAAUCCUGUUACUGUUGAAUUUGAUGAGCCUGGUUUUUGUGUCAAGGACGCUCGAACCAGGAUGGUACUUCACCGAUGUGACAGCCUCGACGAGCUCUAUCCGGUGCAUCCGCCGUCCACACCGGUUGCUCUCUCCGCCGGUGUCAAUCUCUGGCACGCUCGUUUGGGUCAUCCCAACCCAGUCACACUUCGUCAUAUUCUUAGGAGUUUCAGUUUCAGUUGUAAUAAGAUAGAGGAUCACACCUGUCAUGUCUGUCGUGUCGGCAAACAUGUUCGCCUCCCAUUUAAUAACUCCACCACCAUAGCUUCUUUUCCUUUUCAGUUGAUUCAUAGCGAUGUGUGGACCUCUCCGGUUCCUAGUAAUUCGGGCUAUUUAUAUUAUCUGGUUAUCCUUGAUGAUUAUUCUCACUAUGUGUGGACGUUUUCUUUACGACGAAAGUCGGAUGCACUC